rnacentral:lncRNA from 1 species
NNNNNNNNNNNNNNNNNNNNNNNNNNNNNNNNNNNNNNNNNNNNNNNNNNNNNNNNNNNNGGGCACUCGUCUAUCAGUAUUCACCUCCGCCGAGUGCAAACACCCCGAGCCACACGCGAAUGUAUCAUGCCAGAGCCACCGCCACGGGCCGGGGGCGGCGGGGGGCUCGGAGGGCACCGCGCGCCCUGCCCCGCUCCCCCACCCACCACCCACGUGUCUUCUUUUUUUUAUAUAUAAGAGAAAAACGAAAACAAAGAAACAAACAAAAAAAAAACAACAAAAAGGAAGAAAAACCCUCCAAGUUUACAGAGCGCCUCUUUUCUAUCCGUGGUGGCACGGCUGGUUCCCGAGGGAGCGUGGGGGGCCGGGCCGGCGCAGGGGCACCGGGGUGCAGCCGGGGGGGCUGCGGGGGCAGCAUUUGGCCCCUAGCGCUCGGUCCCUCGUUUGUGCACGGAGGGGACGAGUCCCGGUGGCCGGGUUUGGCUGGCGCGGGGGGAGCCCGGAGCCCCCGCCGCCCCCCCCCAGGCUCUGGGCUGCCUGGGCGCUGGGUGCGAAAGGGGAACCGCUGCCCUGGCGCCUUCCUGCUUUCUGUGGGAACGGGCUCGGGGAAGGCGGCGGGGCGUCUGCGCGCGGCCGGGAUUCGCACCCGGCCCCGGGGGCUUGCACAACCCGCCGGGCGCUGGGCUCCGCUCCCUUCGCCCUCGUGCCGGCGUGGGGAGGAGGGAGGGCAGGGCUGGGUGCAAGGUCCCCCCCGAGCCCGGUGCCGGCCUCUCCCGUGCGUGCAGCUCCCUCCUCCCGUGCAAAGCCCUUGCACGCGGAUCUCCAGUCCGUGCCCCGUCCGGGGGGAGCCGGCGCGCAGCGGAGGGACGCCGGACCCCUGCCGCCCUGGGGCGCAGGGAGCGGGGUCGCUGCCUCCCCCUUCACCGGGCACAAGACGGUCCGGGGGCUCGCUGCGGGGGGGGCCAGGCCCCUGCCCGCUCUGCGGCUCCCCGGGCCCUGCUGGGAGUUGGUUCCUUUUCGUCCUUCUGGGAAGGCGAGCGUGUGGCCGAGCGGGCAGUGCCGGGGCGCGCCGGCCCCCGGGGCCCCUCUGGCCUUUAUACCAAAGAGGAAACGGUGCAGGAACGGCUUUGGCCUGCUCUAGAGUCUAUUUUUGGGGGCGUUUGGGUUUUUCCCCUGUUCUUUCAGAGCUGGGGAGAGGCAGUGGUAGGCAGGGGCCAAGGAACGUUGCAUAUAAUUUAUUACACAUUUCUAUACUUGCAGAAUUG